CCUACGGGUGGCAGCAGUGGGGAAUAUUGCACAAUGGGGGAAACCCUGAUGCAGCGACGCCGCGUGAGGGAAGAAGGAAUUCGUUAUGUAAAGCUCUAUCAGCAGGGAAGAAAAUGCCGUUACCUGAGUAAGAAGCACCGGCUAACUCCGUCCCAGCAGCCGCGGGCAUACGGAGGGGGCAUGAGUUCUCCGGAUUUACUGGGUGUAAAGGGAGCGUAGACGGCAGUGCAAGUCUGGAGUGAAAGGCGCGCGCUCAACCCCCGGACUGCUCUGGAAACUGUACGGCUGGAGUGCCGGAGAGGUAAGUGGAAUUCCAGGUGUAGGGGUGAAAUGCGUAGAUAUUAGGAGGAACACCAGUGGCGAAGGCGGCUUUCUGGACUGUAACUGACGUUGAGGCUCGAAAGCGUGGGUAGCAAACAGGAUUAGAUACCCGAGUAGUC
rnacentral:rRNA from 1 species